UUUCCGUAGGUGAACCUGCGGAAGGAUCAUUCAUAAUAAAGUGUUUUAUGGCACUUUUUAAAAAUCCGUAUCCACCUUGUGUGCAAUGUUAGAUCUCGUCAAUCUUGGCGAGAUUUUUAUACAUCAACUCAUUCUUUAACUAAUUUGUCUGAAAAAUAUUAUGAAUACUUAAUUCAAAAUACAACUUUCAACAACGGAUCUCUUGGCUCUC
rnacentral:misc_RNA from 1 species